CGUGCUGAUCAUGUUGUAGUCUCAUUAUUUGAGUCCAGGUCUGCCCUCCGUCUCCACUCCCCAUUCCUUGAUGGAAUUUGUGCGUAUGUGUACCCCGGCCCACAGCAUGGAGCGGGCGGUAGGUUGAGCCCUUCCUACAUGCCACGGCUAACACUGAAUGCUUUAAGACAUGCCAGGUCUUAUUCUGAGCGUGUUACCUGAAAACACUCCUAAAAUCCUGCUGACAAACUUAUGAGGCAGGUACUGUCAUAUUCCCCAUUUUGUAGAUGAGAAAACAGGGGUACACAGAGAUAUUAGGUCCCUGACCAAGGUCGCAUACCAGUAAGGGAUAUGGCUGGAUUCUCACCAAGGCAUCUGUCAACAAAGCCUGGCCUCUCCACUCCAUAGCCUUAUGCCUCUCUCAAUGUGCACUGGAUCACUCAGUGACAGAGUGCUUGUUCUUAAGGAAACGAUAAUCUGGUUGAGCUGAUGAGCUGCACAGCACACACAGGAUACACCUGGGUAAUGAAGGACGGCAUAUGAUUAAGAACUAAGGCAUGGCACAGAUGAUAGGUGCUGUAAGCGUCUAAGGUGGCAGCUCUUGAUGGAUGUUAGCGUGCUAACCAGGGAAGACUUCCUGGAGAAGAUGUGACUGUUUUUGAGAUUUGAAGGCUGUAAAGGCCUUUAGGUGGUAAAGAGGUGCGAGUUAUUUCCAUUGUGAGGAGGGUGAAGAAGUGGGGAAUAGAGUUCACCUGGCAGGAUAGGCAAUCCCGGGCAAAGGAAUGGUAGGAGAGGUUAUCUAGAUAGGUGGGGGCCUUGAAAGCCGCCUGAGAAAUAUAAAUACAACCCAAAGGAAAAAUAUGGUUAUUUGGUUUAGUGUGUGGCUUAGAAAAUCGUCUUCUUUGAGUGUGUUCAACAUUCUAGAAAAUGGAACGUGGUCAGAAGAAGGGCCUUGCUGUUUCAGCACAGCAGAGAGCUACAACAUCCCCCUCCCUUUGCAAUGCAACAGCUGGGCCCACGUCCUUCCUGGGACUUCUGGGAAUGGAGAAGCUGCUACAGCCUGAGGUCAGCAAAGUCUUAGGAUCAGGAGGACAUGAGCGGCAGUUUAUCUGUAUUUAACAGGGGCUGGUGUCUGAGUUUACCUGGCUGGCAGUCCUGGAUACCGGCGACUACAUCAACACACGAGUUUCUUGGAUUAAGAAUUCAGCCUCCCAUGUUAAGAUCCAGAGAAUCCAGCUAAAUUCAGUGAUUCUUCCCCGAGCUCCCCACAAAAGGUGGGCGUGGAGGAGGAAAAGCAGUCAAUGAGGAGCCAGACAGAAGCCUGGAGUGUUGCACUCAUGGCCGUUCCUCCUGAUAGGAACCGGAGUAAGUCAUGGAGGCCAAGAUGUUGCCUUUCCAGCCACCAUCGAGAAUAAAGGCUUUCUGUUUUCCUGACCUGCCAUCUCACCCUUCCCUUCCACCCUGAGGUUAUUCAAGGAAUACGGACUUUGACCCACACGCUUUUGAAGGCUGCAACACCAGAGAAGAGAAGGGAGUCCAGAACUGACCUGGGAGUGUGGAGAUCCAGAUUUAGAACUCAGCUCAGCUCCUCAUGAAGUGUGAUCAUGGGAAGAUCCUUUACCCUCAAUUCGUCUAAGGUUUCCCCAUCCUAGAAAUGGUUCUCACUGCCCCCUAUUCUUUUCUUUCACAACACUUAUCUCAAUUGUCAUCAUCUCAGGUCUGAUUCCUGCUCUAGGGUUGGUGGGUAAGGGCACAGAUGGGCUCUGGAGCUACCCUGCCUGGCUUCCAGCCCUGGCUCCACCACUUGCUAACUUAUUAAAGUUAUUUAGUCGCUUUGUGCUUCAGUUUCCUCAUCUGUACAAUGAGGAUAAUGAUAGAAGCUAUCUCAGAAGUAGGAUAAGUGAGUUAAUAGGUGUAGAACACUUACACCAGUGCCUGGCACGUAUUAAGCACUAUCUGCAUACUUGUUCUAUGAUCUGCUCAUCUGUCUCCUUCACCACUCUAUCCUGAGGGUGAAUUGUCUUCUUGAUUGGAUUCCUGCCUUUCUUUCCAAUUUUAUCUCUUGCUACUCUGCCAUCAGCACUAAACUAUUUGCAUUUCUAACCAAGUUUCCUGAAGUUUCCAUGACCUUGUACAGAAUUCCCCUUGGAAUAUAUUUUCCUUCACAGUUUCCAAACAACAAUGUGAUAAGAAAAAUACCAAAAGUGAAAAAGGGACUGAGAAUGGGAAACAUUCUCUCAGUUUUCUUUAGAAAAAGAGGUGAUUGAAUGCAAAGGGUAGUGAACAGACUGCACGAUGUAAACAGUAAGACUCCCACUCAUUAAUUUUCAUGACCCUCUGAGGGUAGAGACUUAGUUCACUCAAGCAUACCAGUGGUUGUCCUGGGAUUAGUGAUGACCAGCAUGAAGCAAGUGCCACCAUGUCCAACUACUCAUUUUAGACUACCCAGGGAUGCUCCAUGGAGUCCCGGGGACACAUUCCCUAACAUCUUAGGAGAGCUGAAAGCUUUUCCCCUUUGUCUUCCCACUGGACUCCAUCUAUUUUUCCUCCAUUGUGUGCUGUGUAAAUCCAGGUUUAAGGUUUUAAAUGUUUUGUGGUGUUGUCACAGUUUUUCCCUCUGACUCACUUUUGAGCUUUGAGGGGACAGGGGUCAUGUGUUAGUCAUCCCUAUAUGCUGACAUGCAGGCACAGUUGAUAUCUGAUGGCUUGGCACGUGGUUUUAAAACUCUCUUAUUCCUUGGUUUUGCAGACACCAAACCCUUCCAGUUAUCUUCUAAAUUCUCUGAUCCUUCCUUUUACCUUUCUUGGCUGGCUCCUCUUUCUUUGCUCAGUCCUUUGGUGGUCCCUAGGCUCGUCUUUCUUCUCUUCUUAUUCUUCAUGCUCACCUGGGUGUUCUCACCCGAUCCCACGGCUUCAACCGCUCCCUGUGAUCAGGUGUCCCCACGAUCUGUCUGUGUCUCCUGACCUGAUCUCAUCCUUCAAUCCAACCACUGGCCAGACAUCUUUACUUGGAUAGUUCUCAGUUAGUCUACUUCUAAAACAGAACACAACCCACCUUGUCAUCUAAAAGUGCUCUUAUAAAUCUCCUUUUGGGUAAAUACGUCAGCUGGAAGAUUUGGACUUCAUCUUCCUUUCCUCCCACAUCUAAGCAGUCUUUAAACACUGAAAAUGCAGGAUUUAUAUUUCACAUUUUUGAUGCCUCCUCAAAAUCUCCAUUGUCAUUGCUUUAGUUCCUGUCUUCAUCAUCUCUAGAUUGACUUACAGAAACAGCUUCCUAACUCCCUUAUAACAGUGACAUUUUAGAAGAGUAUGAGCCAGAUGUUUUUCAGACUGUUCCUCAAUUUGAGUUUCCCUAUGUUUAGAGUCAAGUUACACAUUUCUGGCAUAAUACAUAAGUAAUGUGUCCUUCCUUCUCAGUGCGUCGCAUCAGAAGGCACAUGGUGUCUCUUUGUAAUUAAUAAGUAAUUUGUGGGAAGAUAUUUUGAGACCAUCUAAAUAUCCUAUUUCCUCAUCAAAUUUUCACCAAGCAGUUUUAUUAUCCAUUGAUGAUUCUUGCCCAAAUCAAUUAUUACUAUGAUAAUUUCAAAAUGGUAACUUUCUAACUGUUAUUUCCUCUACAUUUUUUUGUUGACAUUUUACUUUAAUUCAAUAAUAUAUUUACUAACAGUAUAGACUCAUGAAUCCUUAUUUUAUUCAGUGAUGUAUAAUCUGUAGUGUUAUUAUUUAUUUUGAUGUUUAAAUUAUCCUAGAUAUGGCUGGUGGGAGCCCCUUCAAGCUGGCUCCUGUGUCCUUUUGAGAUGUUCUCACAAUUUCUUAUGCAUGUCUUUAUUUCUAGCAUAAGGAGACGUUCUAUCACCUCCCUUUUUGAGGAAUAUUUUUACUGGCUAUAAAAUUAUAGGUUGGUAGUCACUUUCUUUCAGUAUUUUCAUGAUGUCUUUCCAUUGUCCUCUGAUAUCCGUUGUUUUUUGUUGAUAAACCAGCCUUAAGGCAAUAUGUAUCACCCACAGCCCCGACUGCUUUUAAGAUUU
rnacentral:lncRNA from 1 species